AUGGCUGUGGCCAGCACCUUCAUACCAGGGCUCAACCCUCAGAACCCUCAUUAUAUCCCAGGGUAAGACUCCCACUUAGCGCUCCCCGCUUGCUGCUGGGAGUAGGGGUAUAGGGUGGAGGAAUUAAGCUGCUUAGAGCAUGGGGCCAAGCGGACAGGUUGGUUUGGGAGGCUGAGGUCUCUAUGGUGGUGGAUGGAAAAGGAGAAGCAAGGGACUAGUGAGACACCGGGUCUGCCCCAAAGCUUUGUGUUGUUCUCUCCAUGGGAACAGGGUAACAGCAGAGGAAGGAUCGAAAGCCCAGGCAGAGAACUUAGAAAUGCCUGCUCCAAAUAUAUACACUGCUGAGUCCAGAAAGAUCAGGGCUUCAGAGGUCUCCGCUUCUGCCUCUGGGGAUGGCGGGGCAGGGCGAUUCUGGUGAGUGGGAGAGUCUGUGCUGCAGGUACACUGGACACUGCCCACUACUUCGGUUCAGCGUGGGCCAGACCUAUGGGCAGGUGACUGGUCAGCUACUUCGAGGCCCUCCUGGCCUAGCCUGGCCCCCUGUCCACCGCACACUUCUGCCUCCCAUUCGGCCUCCAAGAUCUCCUGAGGUUCCCAGGGAGAGUCUACCUGUCAGGCGUGGGCAAGAAAGGCUCAGCUCCAGCAUGAUCCCUGGGUACACAGGUUUGUACGCAGGUAUGCACAGGUGCCCCUCCCAGGAGCAUGUGUUCCAAACACUAACGAGUCUUCCUUGUCCCUGCCUGCCCAGGUUUUGUACCCCGGGCACAGUUCAUCUUUGCCAAGAACUGCAGCCAGGUCUGGGCCGAGGCUCUGAGUGACUUUACUCACUUGCAUGAAAAGCAAGGGAGUGAAGAGCUACCAAAGGAGGCCAAGGGAAGAAAGGACACAGAGAAGGACCAGGUGCCAGAGCCGGAGGGGCAGCUGGAGGAGCCGACACUGGAGGUGGUGGAACAAGCUUCUCCCUACUCCAUGGAUGACAGGGACCCUCGGAAGUUCUUCAUGUCAGGCACUGCAGGAAUUUGGGCAGAAGCACUCACCAGGCAGUGCCCAGGACCCCAAACAUCUCCCCCCACUUCCCAGAACAUACCCUCAGAACCUGGGUCUUUUACCUAA
rnacentral:lncRNA from 1 species